rnacentral:snRNA from 1 species
UGGAUCAUCAUCAAUCGAAAA